GGGGAUGUGGCUUAGUGGUAGAGUGCUUGCCUAACAUGCAUGAGGCUCUGGGACAAUCCCCA
rnacentral:tRNA from 1 species